rnacentral:rRNA from 1 species
CCGUAACUAUAACGGUCCUAAGGUAGCGAAAUUCCUUGUCGGGUAAGUUCCGACCCGCACGAAAGGCGUAAUGAUUUGAGCGCUGUCUCGACAAUGCACCCGGUGAAAUUGAAAUACCAGUGAAGAUGCUGGUUACCUGCGCCAGGACGGAAAGACCCCAUGGAGCUUUACUCCAGCUUGAUACUGGGAUUCGGUAUUGCAUGUACAGGAUAGGUGGGAGGCUAGGAGAUGGUAACGCCAGUUGCCAUGGAGCCGCUGUUGGGAUACCACCCUUGCAGUAUUGGGUUUCUAACCAGCCGCCGUGACCCGGCGGUGGGACAAUGCCAGACGGGGAGUUUGACUGGGGCGGUCGCCUCCGAAAGGGUAUCGGAGGCGCCCAAAGGUUCCCUCAGAAUGGACGGAAACCAUUCGAAGAGUGCAAAGGCAGAAGGGAGCUUGACUGCGACACCGACGGGUGGAGCAGGUACGAAAGUAGGACUUAGUGAUCCGGUGGUAUAAAGUGGGAUUGCCAUCGCUCAACGGAUAAAAGCUACCCUGGGGAUAACAGGCUUAUCACUCCCAAGAGUUCACAUCGACGGAGUGGUUUGGCACCUCGAUGUCGGCUCAUCGCAUCCUGGGGCUGUAGUAGGUCCCAAGGGUUGGGCUGUUCGCCCAUUAAAGCGGUACGCGAGCUGGGUUCAGAACGUCGUGAGACAGUUCGGUCCCUAUCCGGCGUGGGCGUAGGAUAUUUGAGAGGAGCUGUCCUUAGUACGAGAGGACCGGGAUGGACUGACCUCUGGUGUACCGGUUGCACUGCCAAGUGCAUGGCCGGGUAGCCAAGUCGGGACGGGAUAAACGCUGAAGGCAUCUAAGCGUGAAGCCCCCCUCAAGAUGAGAUAUCCCAUAGAGUAAUCUAGUAAGACCCCUUGAAGACGACGAGGUAGAUAGGUGAAAGGUGGAAGCGUGGUGACAUGUGGAGCUGAUUCAUACUAAUAGGUCGAGGGCUUAACCGA